rnacentral:lncRNA from 1 species
CGGGAAUAGAUGGGAUAAGAGAUAACAGGAUUUUCUGUACAAACACAGUCUACCACUCCCUUAAAGGACCCCAAGAAGAUAUGGGAUUGAUGCUUCAUCCCAGAAGCACUCUAAAGACUACCCAGCAGGGCUUUCCAGCAGCCACAUGAAUGUCCUAUAAAGCCUCUCUUCACACCUGGGUCACACAAAGGUGGGAAAGACUCAGUGCUGUCCUGAAGACUGUCCAGUUCCUGAAAUCCAUAUGUUCACUGGAUCUUUAUGUGUACAACACUCCUCUUUAGCCCUCACUGGCGAGCAUCCUCUCAUGCCAGUGUCUCCACUCUUAACUACUCUCCCCUCCUCCCUCCUGGAAUCUUGGAGGAUUUCUGAGAGUCUACCAUCAUUGCAACACAUUUCUCCUCCAUUAUAACAUCAACCAUGCCACACUUUCCAUCCCAACUGCUAGCAAUAGACACUUGCAUGUAAUAAAAAAUAUUAAUUGAAUUAAUUAAGAG